rnacentral:tRNA from 2 species
CAGGGUAUAGCUAAACUAGAAAAGCAUCUCCCCUACACUGAGAAGUCUCCUGUGCAAAUCAGGAUACCCUGA